AGCGAACGCUGGCGGCAGGCCUAACACAUGCAAGUCGAACGGACCUUUCGGGGUUAGUGGCGGACGGGUGAGUAACACGUGGGAACGUGCCCUUUGGUUCGGAAUAGCUCCUGGAAACGGGUGGUAAUGCCGAAUGUGCCCUUCGGGGGAAAGAUUUAUCGCCAUUGGAGCGGCCCGCGUCUGAUUAGCUAGUUGGUGGGGUAAAGGCUAACCAAGGCGACGAUCAGUAGCUGGUCUGAGAGGAUGAUCAGCCACAUUGGGACUGAGACACGGCCCAAACUCCUACGGGAGGCAGCAGUGGGGAAUCUUGCGCAAUGGGCGAAAGCCUGACGCAGCCAUGCCGCGUGAAUGAUGAAGGUCUUAGGAUUGUAAAAUUCUUUCACCGGGGACGAUAAUGACGGUACCCGGAGAAGAAGCCCCGGCUAACUUCGUGCCAGCAGCCGCCGUAAUAC
rnacentral:rRNA from 1 species